rnacentral:rRNA from 1 species
UACGUAGGGUGCGAGCGUUGCCCGGAUUUAUUGGGCGUAAAGGGCGCGUAGGCGGCCACGCACGUCCGUUGUGAAAUCGCCCGGCUCAACUGGGCGGGGUCGGCGGAUACGGCGUGGCUGGAGCAAGCGUAGGGGGCAAUGGAAUUCCCGGUGUAGUGGUGGAAUGCGUAGAUAUCGGGAGGAACACCAGUGGCGAAGGCGGUUGCCUGGAGCUUUGCUGACGCUGAGGCGCGAAAGCGUGGGGAGCGAGUCCGGA